GACGAACGCUGGCGGCGUGCCUAAUACAUGCAAGUCGAGCGGAAGUUGGAGAGCUUGCUCUUCAACUUUAGCGGCGGACGGGUGAGUAACACAUGGGCAACCUGCCCUGCAGAUCGGGAUAACUCCGGGAAACCGGUGCUAAUACCGAAUAGUUUUCGCCACCUCCUGGUGGCGUACGGAAAGACGGUUUCGGCUGUCACUGCAGGAUGGGCCCGCGGCGCAUUAGCUAGUUGGUGGGGUAACGGCCCACCAAGGCGACGAUGCGUAGCCGACCUGAGAGGGUGAUCGGCCACACUGGGACUGAGACACGGCCCAGACUCCUACGGGAGGCAGCAGUAGGGAAUCUUCCGCAAUGGACGAAAGUCUGACGGAGCAACGCCGCGUGAGUGACGAAGGUUUUCGGAUCGUAAAACUCUGUUGUGAGGGAAGAACAAGUACCAAUUAACUACUGGUACCUUGACGGUACCUCACCAGAAAGCCACGGCUAACUACGUGCCAGCCGCCGCAGUAAUAC
rnacentral:rRNA from 1 species